UACGUAGGGCGCAAGCGUUGUCCGGAAUUAUUGGGCGUAAAGAGCUCGUAGGCGGUCUGUCGCGUCUGCUGUGAAAACUCGGGGCUUAACUCCGGGCCUGCAGUGGGUACGGGCAGACUAGAGUGCGGUAGGGGAGACUGGAAUUCCUGGUGUAGCGGUGAGAUGCGCAGAUAUCAGGAGGAACACCGAUGGCGAAGGCAGGUCUCUGGGCCACUACUGACGCUGAGAAGCGAAAGCAUGGGGAGCGAACAGG
rnacentral:rRNA from 1 species